ACGAAAGUCAGGUUUGGAGAGGCUCUGGAUACAGAACGGGAUCUGCAGUGAUGCAGUCUGACAGCUCUUAAAAUGCCACACCACUUCCUGGCAGAGAACAUGUUCAGCUAAAAGGCAAGAACAGAACACAUGGCAGUAAAGAAAGAAAUUGUUUUGGAAACAUGAACUAAAGCCCACCAUCCAAGUAUGUUCUUUUGGAAGAGGGGAACACUGAGCACAAAGUUAUUUCAAAAACCAGGUGAGCCUGAGCGUCUGUGUAGCAGUGUGUAAUUCUGUGAUCACAAGGAAGAAGAGCAUCCUGCGGUGCCACCCUGCCUGUCCCUCGGCCCUUGGAUUUAGCUGUGGAGUGCAGCCUUCUUUUCGGCAGCGUCGUGAGUCCAAACGUCUUUCAGUGAUUUAUACUUUAAGAGUUUAAAGGUGUUUUAAACCGUUGGGUGAUGACUU